rnacentral:tRNA from 1 species
GUCGGAGUGGCGGAAUUGGCAGACGCGCACGUUUGAGGGGCGUGUGGGUAACCGUACGGGUUCAAGUCCCGUCUCCGACACCA